AUUGAACGCUGGCGGCAGGCCUAACACAUGCAAGUCGAGCGGAUGAAGGGAGCUUGCUCCUGGAUUCAGCGGCGGACGGGUGAGUAAUGCCUAGGAAUCUGCCUGGUAGUGGGGGAUAACGUGCGGAAACGGGCGCUAAUACCGCAUACGUCCUGAGGGAGAAAGUGUGGGAUCUUCGGACCUCACGCUAUCACAUGAGCCUAGGUCGGAUUAGCUAGUUGGUGGGGUAAAGGCCUACCAAGGCGACGAUCCGUAACUGGUCUGAGAGGAUGAUCAGUCACACUGGAACUGAGACACGGUCCAGACUCCUACGGGAGGCAGCAGUGGGGAAUAUUGGACAAUGGGCGAAAGCCUGAUCCAGCCAUGCCGCGUGUGUGAAGAAGGUCUUCGGAUUGUAAAGCACUUUAAGUUGGGAGGAAGGGCAGUAAGUUAAUACCUUGCUGUUUUGACGUUACCAACAGAAUAAGCACCGGCUAACUUCGUG
rnacentral:rRNA from 1 species